rnacentral:rRNA from 1 species
GGUCAAGUGAAUAAGUGCAUCAGGCGGAUGCCUUGGCGAUGAUAGGCGACGAAGGACGUGUAAGCCUGCGAAAAGCGCGGGGGAGCUGGCAAUAAAGCUAUGAUUCCGCGAUGUCCGAAUGGGGAAACCCACUGCAUUCUGUGCAGUAUCCUAAGUUGAAUACAUAGGCUUAGAGAAGCGAACCCGGAGAACUGAACCAUCUAAGUACCCGGAGGAAAAGAAAUCAACCGAGAUUCCGCAAGUAGUGGCGAGCGAACGCGGAGGAGCCUGUACGUAAUAACUGUCGAGAUAGAAGAACAAGCUGGGAAGCUUGACCAUAGCGGGUGACAGUCCCGUAUUCGAAAUCUCAACAGCGGUACUAAGCGUACGAAAAGUAGGGCGGGACACGUGAAAUCCUGUCUGAAUAUGGGGGGACCAUCCUCCAAGGCUAAAUACUCAUCAUCGACCGAUAGUGAACCAGUACCGUGAGGGAAAGGCGAAAAGAACCCCGGGAGGGGAGUGAAACAGAACCUGAAACCUGAUGCAUACAAACAGUGGGAGCGCCCUAGUGGUGUGACUGCGUACCUUUUGUAUAAUGGGUCAACGACUUACAUUCAGUAGCGAGCUUAACCGGAUAGGGGAGGCGUAGGGAAACCGAGUCUUAAUAGGGCGAUGAGUUGCUGGGUGUAGACCCGAAACCGAGUGAUCUAUCCAUGGUCAGGUUGAAGGUGCCGUAACAGGUACUGGAGGACCGAACCCACGCAUGUUGCAAAAUGCGGGGAUGAGCUGUGGGUAGGGGUGAAAGGCUAAACAAACUCGGAGAUAGCUGGUUCUCCCCGAAAACUAUUUAGGUAGUGCCUCGAGCAAGACACUGAUGGGGGUAAAGCACUGUUAUGGCUAGGGGGUUAUUGCAACUUACCAACCCAUGGCAAACUCAGAAUACCAUCAAGUGGUUCCUCGGGAGACAGACAGCGGGUGCUAACGUCCGUUGUCAAGAGGGAAACAACCCAGACCGCCGGCUAAGGUCCCAAAUGAUAGAUUAAGUGGUAAACGAAGUGGGAAGGCACAGACAGCCAGGAUGUUGGCUUAGAAGCAGCCAUCAUUUAAAGAAAGCGUAAUAGCUCACUGGUCGAGUCGUCCUGCGCGGAAGAUGUAACGGGGCUCAAAUCUAUAACCGAAGCUGCGGAUGCCGGUUUACCGGCAUGGUAGGGGAGCGUUCUGUAGGCUGAUGAAGGUGCAUUGUAAGGUGUGCUGGAGGUAUCAGAAGUGCGAAUGUUGACAUGAGUAGCGAUAAAGCGGGUGAAAAGCCCGCUCGCCGAAAGCCCAAGGUUUCCUACGCAACGUUCAUCGGCGUAGGGUGAGUCGGCCCCUAAGGCGAGGCAGAAAUGCGUAGUCGAUGGGAAACAGGUUAAUAUUCCUGUACUUGAUUCAAAUGCGAUGUGGGGACGGAGAAGGUUAGGUUGGCAAGCUGUUGGAAUAGCUUGUUUAAGCCGGUAGGUGGAAGACUUAGGCAAAUCCGGGUUUUCUUAACACCGAGAAGUGAUGACGAGUGUCUACGGACACGAAGCAACCGAUACCACGCUUCCAGGAAAAGCCACUAAGCUUCAGUUUGAAUCGAACCGUACCGCAAACCGACACAGGUGGGCAGGAUGAGAAUUCUAAGGCGCUUGAGAGAACUCGGGAGAAGGAACUCGGCAAAUUGAUACCGUAACUUCGGGAGAAGGUAUGCCCUCUAAGGUUAAGGACUUGCUCCGUAAGCCCCGGAGGGUCGCAGAGAAUAGGUGGCUGCGACUGUUUAUUAAAAACACAGCACUCUGCCAACACGAAAGUGGACGUAUAGGGUGUGACGCCUGCCCGGUGCCGGAAGGUUAAUUGAAGAUGUGCAAGCAUCGGAUCGAAGCCCCGGUAAACGGCGGCCGUAACUAUAACGGUCCUAAGGUAGCGAAAUUCCUUGUCGGGUAAGUUCCGACCCGCACGAAUGGCGUAACGAUGGCCACACUGUCUCCUCCCGAGACUCAGCGAAGUUGAAGUGGUUGUGAAGAUGCAAUCUACCCGCUGCUAGACGGAAAGACCCCGUGAACCUUUACUGUAGCUUUGCAUUGGACUUUGAAGUCACUUGUGUAGGAUAGGUGGGAGGCUUGGAAGCAGAGACGCCAGUCUCUGUGGAGUCGUCCUUGAAAUACCACCCUGGUGUCUUUGAGGUUCUAACCCAGACCCGUCAUCCGGGUCGGGGACCGUGCAUGGUAGGCAGUUUGACUGGGGCGGUCUCCUCCCAAAGCGUAACGGAGGAGUUCGAAGGUUACCUAGGUCCGGUCGGAAAUCGGACUGAUAGUGCAAUGGCAAAAGGUAGCUUAACUGCGAGACCGACAAGUCGGGCAGGUGCGAAAGCAGGACAUAGUGAUCCGGUGGUUCUGUAUGGAAGGGCCAUCGCUCAACGGAUAAAAGGUACUCCGGGGAUAACAGGCUGAUUCCGCCCAAGAGUUCAUAUCGACGGCGGAGUUUGGCACCUCGAUGUCGGCUCAUCACAUCCUGGGGCUGUAGUCGGUCCCAAGGGUAUGGCUGUUCGCCAUUUAAAGUGGUACGUGAGCUGGGUUUAAAACGUCGUGAGACAGUUUGGUCCCUAUCUGCAGUGGGCGUUGGAAGUUUGACGGGGGCUGCUCCUAGUACGAGAGGACCGGAGUGGACGAACCUCUGGUGUACCGGUUGUAACGCCAGUUGCAUAGCCGGGUAGCUAAGUUCGGAAGAGAUAAGCGCUGAAAGCAUCUAAGCGCGAAACUCGCCUGAAGAUGAGACUUCCCUUGCGGUUUAACCGCACUAAAGGGUCGUUCGAGACCAGGACGUUGAUAGGUGGGGUGUGGAAGCGCGGUAACGCGUGAAGCUAACCCAUACUAAUUGCCCGUGAGGCUUGACUCU